rnacentral:sRNA from 1 species
AGAUUUUCUUCGUUAAAUUCAAUUUAGAUUACUAUUCUUUAAAUUCAAUUUAAAUUACUAUUCUUUAAAUUUAAUUUGGAUUACUAUUCUUAAAUAUAAUUACAUUUAGCUGGUUUGUUAGUUGUAUUGUUGAUUUGAUAACUCUAGGGGCGUCAUCAGUCGCUGUCAUCCAGUCUUCAGUGGCCCGGAGGGGAAGACAGAAGAAGGCGCUGCUGUCGAUGCUCUUAUUUGUAGCUAUGUCCAGGUUGUAAGUACUCCGUGGAUCCAGGAGAGAGGCUAGUCUGAGACUUGCUAUUUAUUCAUAGGCACCCUUUAUUUUCUGGCUUUUGCUUACUUUGUUUCUUUCCAUAGUGUUCGUCUUUAUUUAGAAUUUCUUAUAUCGUGAUUGUUUAUUUAUUUGCUUUGCUUGAUUUUUUUUGAGAUUUUUAUUUAUUGUUGGUUUUAUUAGUAAGAAUAUUAAUUUAUUAUUAGCUUGCUAUGGGCUUUAACUUUGUUUAUAUUUAAGUUUUUGGAUUUAUUAUUAUUAUUUAUUUAUUUUUUGUUUGUUAGAUUUGACUGCAAGAUUCACUCAGUAGCGUGUAUAGCGAGGUGGGUAUAUUAUUGAAAUAUCGUGUAUUAGUUAUAAGUUUAUUUAUUUGUUUUGUCUAUCCAUUUUAACAUUUGUUUUAUUUAUUAAUUUAUUGUUAAGUGUUUUUAUUAUUUGCUUUGUUAAAUCGAUUAUUUAUUUAUAAUUAUGGUUGUUUAGCGUAUUUAUUUUGUUUUUACUUAGGGUUUUGCACUUUUAUUAGAAAGUUUUGUUGCGAGUGUUGCAUAUGUAAUUA